UACAGAGACUGCAAGCGUUAUUCGGAUUCACUGGGCGUAAAGGGUGCGCAGGCGGCCAAGUGUGUGAGGCGUGAAAGCCCGGGGCUUAACCCCGGAAUUGCACCUCAAACUACAUGGCUAGAGCAUUGGAGAGGGUGAGCGGAAUUACACGGUGUAGCAGUGAAAUGCGUAGAUAUCGUGAGGAACAUCAGUGGCGAAGGCGGCCUGCUGGGCUGUUGC
rnacentral:rRNA from 1 species